UCCGUCAAACAAGCUAAUGGUUUUCCUGAGAGGUUCAGGAAAUGAAAAAGGAAUCGUGUGAGAAUCACGAGCAGACGUUGCUACUGUCAGUGACUAUUAAAAAGGGUUUGCCCUCGAUGUCCAUUGUCCUUCAGCGGUUCGCCCACUCCGGCGAACCGGUUGCGAUAGGAUGAGAAGGACGGCAAAUACCGUCACAAGCCAGGAGACUUGCCUUUAGCUUUGCUGAUUA
rnacentral:ncRNA from 2 species